UACGUAGGGUGCAAGCGUUAAUCGGAAUUACUGGGCGUAAAGCGUGCGCAGGCGGUUGUGCAAGACAGAUGUGAAAUGCCCGGGCUUAACCUGGGAACUGCAUUUGUGACUGCAUGGCUAGAGUUGGCAGAGGGGGGUAGAAUUCCACGUGUAGCAGUGAAAUGCGUAGAUAUGUGGAGGAACACCGAUGGCGAAGGCAGCCCCCUGGGUCAAGACUGACGCUCAUGCACGAAAGCGUGGGAGCAAACAGG
rnacentral:rRNA from 1 species